rnacentral:rRNA from 1 species
AUGACGGGCAUGGAAGGCUCUUACCAGGCAAAUGAAGUGUCCUAUGCAGGGGACUACAUUGGUACUCAGCCAGUGCGCUCCCAGUACCCGGAAAUGUGGUUUGACCCAAGGAUUUCUCAAAUGCAAGGCGAUGGGGUUAAUUUUCUACAGAUGAUCCCGCCUUACUCGUUGGCCUAUCCGGUCCAUCAGUUUGGAACAUCGACACAUCCUCUUGCUGUUGUGAGUAACAAUUCCGUUCCGGUGACUGGACAACAUGCUACCCCAGUUGUCAAACAUAAAGAAAAUGCAUUAGUGUUGAGUCCAGGCUUUGGCAUGAACAUGUCAUACACACAAAUGUUGCUUGCGGCUGAAUCAGAGGAUCCUCUAUUUGGUUCACCACACACAGAGUACUAUCCUGUUGGGGCUGAGAAUGAGACAUUUAUGGUAAAUGGACGGAACACAAGGUUGAGCGAGCUAGUUGACAUGGACAAUCCAGAAUCAAGCAACUACAUUGAACAAGAUGAUCCUAGCAAUUGGAACAACAACCAGACAGAUUUCCAGGAGGCUGAUUUAGCAUUGCAAACUGUCACAUGGGAUGAUGGCGUCCCAGCUCCUGGGGCAGAGCUCUUGCAGGCUCUAGGAAUUUGUCCUGAUCAAAAUGAAGACGAUACAUGCAGUGAAGAUUCAGACACCGAUCCAAGUGCAUUUAACAAUGUGCUAGUUGUUGCUGAAGAAGAUGCUAAUCGGGUAGUUGCUGGACAUGGCGAUGAACAUGGUGAUAACGAAGCUGUGGACGAUGACGUUAACCAAUUCUCACCAGAUGACACUGACAAUUUCCUCGAGAAUGAUUCGGUUCUCGCUGCUCAAACUUGUAGCCAAGAGGUUCGCAGCCGCCAUGUCCCGCAGAUGGGUAUGGACUUCGAAACAUCGAAAGCAGCACAAGCAUUCUACAAGAGCUAUUCUUGCUUGUGUGGAUUUGCUGUGCGAAAAGCAUCAAACUACUGUGGCCAAACUAGCACAGGGGGUGGCGAGUCCCGAUGUAUUUUCAGAUGCAACAGGUCUGGGAAGGUGCUUGAUGAGGAACAAAAGGAGGCUAGGAGGAAACAAAGGAAGGAGAAGUGGCAAGAGCGAACUGGAAAGCUAGCACCAGAGACAAGGAAGAGAAAAAGGAAUGUCAUUGAUGUCACAGGGUGUCAAGCUAAACUGGUAGUCAGCAAAAAAAUGGCAGAUGGUUUAUCACAGAUAUCAACCUCGAGCACAACCACAAGUUGA